rnacentral:rRNA from 1 species
GACGAACGCUGGCGGCGUGCUUAACACAUGCAAGUCGAACGGAAAGGCCCUGCUUUUGUGGGGUGCUCGAGUGGCGAACGGGUGAGUAACACGUGAGUAACCUGCCCUUGACUUUGGGAUAACUUCAGGAAACUGGGGCUAAUACCGGAUAGGAGCUCCUGCUGCAUGGUGGGGGUUGGAAAGUUUCGGCGGUUGGGGAUGGACUCGCGGCUUAUCAGCUUGUUGGUGGGGUAGUGGCUUACCAAGGCUUUGACGGGUAGCCGGCCUGAGAGGGUGACCGGCCACAUUGGGACUGAGAUACGGCCCAGACUCCUACGGGAGGCAGCGGUGGGGAAUAUUGCACAAUGGGCGGAAGCCUGAUGCAGCAACGCCGCGUGCGGGAUGACGGCCUUCUGGUUGUAAACCGCUUUCGCCUGUGACGAAGCGUGAGUGACGGUAAUGGGUAAAGAAGCACCGGCUAACUACGUG